rnacentral:rRNA from 1 species
UGGGGGUACCGUCACCCCGUAGGCUAUUAACCUCGGAAGCUUCGUCCCCCCUGAAAGCGGUUUACAACCCUAAGGCCGUCUUCCCGCACGCGGCGUUGCUGCGUCAGGCUUUCGCCCAUUGCGCAAGAUUCCC